rnacentral:misc_RNA from 1 species
GAUGAAGAACGUAGUGAAAUGCGAUAAGUAAUGUGAAUUGCAGAAUUCAGUGAAUCAUCGAAUCUUUGAACGCACCUUGCACCCUUUGGACUGCUCCAAAGGGUAUGCUCGUUUGAGUGUCAUUGUACUCUCACACUCUCUGAUCCUUUGGAUUUGGGGAGCAGUGGACUUGGGUGCUUGCUGCUUCCUUGUGGCUCACCUGAAAUGCAUCAGUGCAUCUCUCGAUUGGACAUAGUACGGCGUGAUAAGUGUCUUCGCCGGCACCUCAUAUGAGGGUGGCCGAUCGGGAGCUCUGUGCUUUCAAACCGUCUUCGGACAACGCUGACAACUUGACCUCAAAUCGAGUAGGACUACCCGCUGAACUUAAGCAUAUCAAUAAGCGGAGGA